rnacentral:rRNA from 1 species
GUGUCAGCAGCCGCGGUAAGACAGAGGGUGCAAACGUUGUUCGGAAUUACUGGGCGUAAAGCGCGUGUAGGCGGUUUGGUAAGUCGGAUGUGAAAGCCCGGGGCUCAACCUCGGAAGUGCAUUCGAUACUACCAUACUAGAGUACUGGAGAGGAUGGUGGAACUCUCGGUGUAGAGGUGAAAUUCGUAGAUAUCGAGAAGAACACCGGUGGCGAAGGCGGCCAUCUGGACAGAUACUGACGCUGAGACGCGAAAGCGUGGGGAGCAAACAGGAUUAGAUACCCUGGUAGUCCACGCCGUAAACGAUGGGUGCUAGGUGUCACGGGUAUUGACCCCUGUGGUGCCGAAGCUAACGCAUUAAGCACCCCGCCUGGGAAGUACGGCCGCAAGGCUAAA